AGAGUUUGAUCCUGGCUCAGGAUGAACGCUAGCGACAGGCUUAACACAUGCAAGUCGAGGGGCAGCGGGGGUAGCAAUACCCGCCGGCGACCGGCGCACGGGUGAGUAACGCGUAUGCAACUUGCCUAUCAGAGGGGGAUAACCCGGCGAAAGUCGGACUAAUACCGCAUGAAGCAGGGAUCCCGCAUGGGAAUAUUUGCUAAAGAUUCAUCGCUGAUAGAUAGGCAUGCGUUCCAUUAGGCAGUUGGCGGGGUAACGGCCCACCAAACCGACGAUGGAUAGGGGUUCUGAGAGGAAGGUCCCCCACAUUGGUACUGAGACACGGACCAAACUCCUACGGGAGGCAGCAGUGAGGAAUAUUGGUCAAUGGCCGAGAGGUUGAACCAGCCAAGUCGCGUGAGGGAUGAAGGUUCUAUGGAUCGUAAACCUCUUUUAUAAGGGAAUAAAGUGACCCACGUGUGGGUUUUUGUAUGUACCUUAUGAAUAAGGAUCGGCUAACUCCGUGCCAGCAGCCGCGGU
rnacentral:rRNA from 1 species